AUGACAUAAGAAUUCUUUGGAAGGAAUAGUUUUCAUCCUGAUAAUUUUCUUUAAUAAUUCAAUUUAUUUCAAUUAUCCUCAAACGAUUCACCAUAACAUGUCUAGACAUAGGAGUAUUCGAACUAUGAAUUACGAUGAUGGUAUAAUUGGCAUAGUUUUAAGUGCCAUGCAUUGUUAACGCUUGUGUUCUAAAGUAUGAUGGGUAUGAUGACGUCUAUGGCUAUUCUCUUGAAGAAUGUUGCUGACCUAUGCAGAACAUUUCCUUUACGGCAGAAGUCAAGAACAUUACAUGUCUGCUUACAUGCAUUCGGACAUACCAGAAGAAGAUGAACUGAUUACAGAUGAAUCCAACAAUGGAAAUGAUGUUGGUGUGACUUCUAGAAUACCCCCCUUAGGUGAAUUAGAACAAGCACAAUUGCACUCCUGCCAUGAUCUUCGUGACAGAAUGGGGGAUGCACUUUCAAGCUAGCUAAAAUUGAUGCCAUUCUAGCAUGUAACUUUGAUGCAGAGCAGUCUCUUGACCAACUGUUGAAGACUUCUGUUGCUUCUUCAUUAAGCAAACCCACAAAAUCAAUCAUCUAAUCAAAACCAGCCCCUUUAAUUCAAGGUAUUAACCUUGGGGUACAUCAAACUCUUACUACUACCAUUUGUUGUAAUCACUCUGCUGUUUUUUUUUUAAAGUCAUUUCUAUUUAAUAUUUCAGACCCUGUUAGUGAUUCCUAGAUAUCAUGUAAAUUUUUAUUGUUUAAUGUUUACAUGCUUAAUAUUUUGUUGACUUACAUUUAAUUAACUGUUUCUUUUUUACAUGUUUUAUUUUCUAUAUGUUGAUUGGUGCAUCUUCUCGUUCUGUUUUCCUUGACAAUAUGGACACAGGACUACGAAAGUUUUUUUUUUCUCACUUUUGUUUUCCUUCUCGUGUUUCAAUGUUCAUCUGAAUGGCGACGACUACCUGUUUUCUUGUACACAAAUGUACAGUGAAAUUGCAAU